rnacentral:ribozyme from 1 species
GCUGCUCGAUAUUUCACACAUCGCUUUGUGGUGAGCAGCAGGCAACGGCCCUAUGGCCGGCUAAGAAUGCGAAA